UGACUAUGACUCAAGUAUCUAUUUUUCUACCUGAACCCAUCCCAAACUGAUAAUUAAAGGGCACUGAACCCAGUUUAAGCAGGUUCCACAAUCGGUAGGCCUGGGUCCCUUAGAAAACAUGAUCAGCUGCCAUUCCUGCUUAAGGAAAGGUAAAAGAAGGGAUAAACAACAAACUAUGUUACAGGGUAUAUGCUUAUAUGCAGCGCAAACUGCACAAAUAAUCCAAUGAACAAAUUUACUAUUUUCCAGACCUUCUAUUGAAGUGCUCUGGCUUCAGUCAAGAUAGGUAGAUCCCGAAAAGGACAAAAUCUCCUUUAUUCUUGUUCCUGAGCCUCUCUUAAAUGUCUAUAAUACUUAUCAUAAUUACAAUUUAUUGACCUGCAUGAAUACUCGUGAUCACAUGUCACAAAUAAUAACAUUCAAUUAUUAAAGCAUUUCAUUGUGCAAGAAUGGUGCUUUAUAUACAAGAAAAUGCUCUACAAUCCAAAGAAAAGUUCUAUGGCGACAAAGCAUAAUAUUUUGCUCGAAUAUGGCAUGUUGUCUCAUCAAUCAGUUCCAAAAACGAACCACACGGAGACCUAAAGAACAUGGAUGAGAGUCAUAGAAAGGCGAUCGUACCCGAACCGAGUGGUCGCCGUCGCUGGCGAUUUCAGCAACGAGCUCACGGCUCGGAGAAGGUUGUCUCGAUGAUGUCGUAGUCGGGUCCUGGAAUAGCUCUCCAAGCGAUCGGAGCAAGCUUCCAGCAAUGGUGAGGAGCGGACGAGAAGUUGCCAUGAGACGACGGUUUGCGAGCGGUAGGAAGGGGCGACGCUGUUCAUUUCUGGGCUAAUUUGUCGUGAGUGAGGCCCAUAUGGACCUAUGGACCGCAUUUUGAUGACCUAUUGAAUGAUGGAAGAAUAAUCCGAUUUAUAAAAUGCUUAAUGAUAAUAUUUAUUUUAAGUUUUCUUUUAUCUAAUUUUAGAGAUAAUUAUA
rnacentral:lncRNA from 1 species